UCCACCCGUCCACUUGCGUGGCAAGGCGAGGCAACAGCCGGGCCGGUUGUCGCAAUUGAGCGGGCCUAGCUCGUCCUACUAGUAUGAGGAUCGGCACAGUAUGUUGCGUAAUCCUACCACUAACUGUGGAGAGGUAGAGGCAACACAUGUUCCGGUUGUUCUCAAAUUCGGAGAGCAUUAUUAGGGUCAGGUCGAGGCAACCAAAAGGGCCACGAGCCUUUAUCAUGAGCAACAUCCGAAACCAACAGCGGGAGCGAGGCUGCCUUGAUAGCACCAGGCACGAAACAUGCCAGCACCAAGAGGCAACGCCGCAAGCGCCAUAUGGCCGCAGCAGCACACCCAAAGGCGUCCACCGCGAGGCAACUGUGUAUGAAGCACCAAUACCCGUAGGUCGGGUAACAUCACGCAAGCACUUGAAAGGCAACAGUAAGAUAGCUCACACGAAUGAAAAGACACGGCGCCGGU
rnacentral:misc_RNA from 1 species